UGAGGCAGGAGAAUUGCUUGAACCCAGGAGGUGGAGGUUGCAGUGAGCCGAGAUUGCAUCACUGCACUCCAGCCUGGGUGACAGAGCGAGACUCCGUCUC
rnacentral:miRNA from 1 species